rnacentral:rRNA from 1 species
UGUCUCAAAGAUUAAGCCAUGCAUGUCUAAGUAUAAGCAAUUAUACCGUGAAACUGCGAAUGGCUCAUUAAAUCAGUUAUCGUUUAUUUGAUAGUACCUUACUACUUGGAUAACCGUGGUAAUUCUAGAGCUAAUACAUGCUGAAAACCCCGACUUCGGAAGGGGUGUAUUUAUUAGAUAAAAAACCAAUGCCCUUCGGGGCUCUUUGGUGAUUCAUGAUAACUUAACGGAUCGCAUGGCCUUGCGCCGGCGACGGUUCAUUCAAAUUUCUGCCCUAUCAACUUUCGAUGGUAAGGUAUUGGCUUACCAUGGUUUCAACGGGUAACGGGGAAUUAGGGUUCGGUUCCGGAGAGGGAGCCUGAGAAACGGCUACCACAUCCAAGGAAGGCAGCAGGCGCGCAAAUUACCCAAUCCCGACACGGGGAGGUAGUGACAAUAAAUACUGAUACAGGGCUCUUUUGGGUCUUGUAAUUGGAAUGAGUACAAUUUAAACCCCUUAACGAGGAACAAUUGGAGGGCAAGUCUGG